CUCUUACUCUCUGCUAAGGGGGUCCUGUCCCAUGUUCUCUGAUAAACCACCAUUUUGAACCCAAGACGUCUCAAGAAAUCUUUCUCGGUCAUCAGGUCGGCCACGGAUUCCACCCCAUGGGAACAUCGCAGCCAUCAAGUCCCGUUGCAGAACACUUUUCUUUUGGGCUGCUGUGUGCACAUGAGAGUCUUGGUAAAAAGCCUAUGGUUCUGCAUUUCCAAUAUGCUCACGGGACUCCCAACGCUGCUGGU